UGCUCUGGAGCUACUAUGUGAUCCCGCAAAGAGGCAUCCUCAAUAAGAUAAGUCUUAUAAAAUAUAUAAAUUUGUGAUAAUUAAGACUGAACUAGCAUAUAAGAAAUCCUAGUCCAUCAGCCAGCAGCAUUGUAAACUAAUAUAUGACUCUGUGUGUUAUUCUGAGCACCCAAUUGUUGACGAGGCUUGGGCAGAUGGAAUAAAGACUUAUCGUUAAAAGCCCCCAACUUCCUGCAGCACCCUCCAGCCUACUACAGUGCUUUCACCAUUCCUUCUGUGAUGUGUCUUCUUGGCCAAGCUUAUCAUCAGUGCCCUGUAUGAACUCUUCCCACUGGAGAUUGUAUCUUAUGACUGCAGCUUAUUCAGUUCUCAAAUCUUAUCAAACUACAUAUGGAAAUUCAGACAUUUUAUUGUGUGCUAAUAAUAAUCAAGUUUGAAAGAAGAUACAUGCUGUGAGUUGUCUUCGUUUGCCCUCAAGUCCCAUGUGUUACAGCCUACACCUUUGAAAGUCCAGAUCACAGUCUGGAAGGGCUGUAGAAUUAGAAGAUGUGAGAUCAUUGGAGGUGUGCCCAUGACAAGGAUUAGGGGACUCCAUUCUGUUCUUACUUUUGCUACCUGGCCAGGAGGCUUGAGCAGUGCUUUCUGGUACUGUGGAAACUGGACCACAGGAAGGAGACUUUCAGAUGCAAUCCAGCUUUACACAUCUCUUCCCUGAAUCCUAAAUGUGAAAUGUCUUCAGCAACUUCACCUUCAACUGAUGAAGGGCAACAGCAAUACCAACAAAUUUUUACUAUAAUUUAUCUUAUAAGAAAAAUAUAUUUUCAUUAAGAAAGUAAAAAUAUCUGUCAAGAAAGCAAAAAUGAUAUUUAUCAAAUGUGAUAUUUGGUCUGAAAUAUUGAAAUGCCAAACUAUAGUUGACCAUUUCCAGGAACCAUGCAGUGAUGAGUUAUGUGACUCAAAGCUACUUUGCUCACAGAAAACAAAAUAAAAAGUUAUCAUUUCCUAAAAUUCCCUAACAAGUGAAAUUGAAUUAAAAUUAUAUUGGCAAUAUAAGGAAUUACAAUUUUGUGGAACAAAAGCUUAUAUCCUGGGGCUAGAGAGAUGCACAACAUUUAAGAACUUUUUUGACUCCUGCAAGGGAGCCAGGGUUUCCUCUAAGCAUCCACACCAGGUGGCUCACUUGCUACUACAGUCCAAAGGCUUCUGAGAUCCAAGGUAAAUGCAUGCAUGUGCUGAACAUACAAACAAGUAGGCGCACACAUACACAGUAAAUACAAAUAAUUCAUUUUAAAAUACUCUAAAUACACCAUAUUUAUAGUAAUUGUCUCAACAAUACACUAUACAAGCAUUUAGCAGAGCAUGGAGAGAACCUGGUAUUGCUGAACAGGCCUUACCUACCAAAGGAGGUUAUUGGCAAUGACAAGAGAAAAACAUGAACAAAUAAGUACACAUAGAAAGAAGACCAAACAUUGAA